rnacentral:rRNA from 1 species
GCCUCUUGGACUGGGACAACUGUUGGAAACGACAGCUAAUACCGGAUAUUAUGAGAUUCUCGCAUGAGAAACUUAUGAAAGCUAUAUGCGCCAAGAGAGAGCCUUGCGUUCCAUUAGCUAGUUGGUGGGGUAACGGCCCACCAAGGCGACGAUGGAUAGCCGGCCUGAGAGGGUGAACGGCCACAAGGGGACUGAGACACGGCCCUUACUCCUACGGGAGGCAGCAGUGGGGAAUAUUGGACAAUGGACCAAAAGUCUGAUCCAGCAAUUCUGUGUGCACGAUGAAGGUCUUCGGAUUGUAAAGUGCUUUCAGUUGGGAAGAAGCAAGUGACGGUACCAACAGAAGAAGCGACGGCUAAAUACGUGCCAGCAGCCGCGGUAAUACGUAUGUCGCAAGCGUUAUCCGGAUUUAUUGGGCGUAAAGCGCGUCUAGGCGGAAAAAUAAGUCUGAUGUUAAAAUGCGGGGCUCAACUCCGUAUUGCGUUGGAAACUGUUUUUCUAGAGUACUGGAGAGGUGGGCGGAACUACAAGUGUAGAGGUGAAAUUCGUAGAUAUUUGUAGGAAUGCCGAUGGAGAAGUCAGCUCACUGGACAGAUACUGACGCUGAAGCGCGAAAGCGUGGGGAGCAAAC